CUUCAAUAGCUUUCAAGAGUGAAGGUUGAAUCUCUCCUCCUCUUUCAAGUCCUUCAUCAUCUCUGAAGGUGCGAAUACCCGUCCGUCUCAACUUUUUAUAAAGAUGAUCCGUAAAAUUGAAACGGGUGUCUUCGCCUCUAAAGUUCAAAAAGACAUCCCAACGCCAUGGAAAAGGAGGAGAGAGAGUUGAUCUAGUUAAGCUUCUCUUUCUCUUUGGAGCCAUAGUCGGGGACGUUGUUUGUCCAAAAUUACAGAGACACUCAGGAAAUUUUUGGGUUGUUAAGUGUCAAAAACUCAAAAUUUCAAGAGAGUCAGAAGAUUUAUCCCUCUACCUUCUAAAAUUGGAACUUCCUCCCAUCCUCCGACCAACUUUAAUCUUCAUUUUUUCUUUUUAAAAAACGCGUGUCUUGGUCAAAAAGAAAAAACGUGUGGGGACGCUGAAUGGGGCAAAAUCCUCUCUUAAACGACUACAUCGUUUUAAAAAACGAAAAAACAAAGAAUUAAAACAGAUGAAAUAAUCCCGCUAACCUCCUACAAUUCCAUAAUUACCCCUUAGGUGACCCCCCUUUUCCCUGUUAGGGACAAUUUUACUCAAGGUCUUACUUAAAUACCAUUAUUGGUUUGAAAAUUUAUCAAAUAUCAUAAUUAUUUUGAAUUAGAAGGGAGUUCAGUGAAAAAUCAAAUAAGAAGGAUUUGAGAGAUGUGUGAUGAAAAUUUCAAAUCAAUAAAAAUUAAAUGUAUUUAGUUAAAACCUUAUAAAGAGUCUAUAAAAUUAACUUUUUUUAACUAUUUUAGAAUGGCGAUAUAAGCCAACCCUCUUUUUUGUCAAAUCCAUGUAAAAAAAAUAUUGAGUUUGCCCUCUUCCAUUAAAAUAAUAUUCUAAAUUUAUUAUUAUUAUUAUUAUUAUAUAAAGUAUAACCUCUUUUUAAUUUAUUUGAAUAUAUUUAUAAAUAAAAAAUCUGUUUGGCUCUUUAUGAAAAAUAUAAAUAAUUUUGAAAUAUUUAUAAUUUUAUUAAAUGUCUGGAAAUGAAUUUUAGCUAAAUAAAGGAUAAAAUGCUGUUUUAUUAUUUUCUCAUCAUGUGAUUAAUUGGCAGUUGAAAAAAUAGUGAAAAAAAAAUAAUAACAAAAUACUAGAAAGGACAGUCUUCUAUUUUGUAAUAAAAUAAUGAGAUUGAAUUCUCAAUAUCAAAAAACCCCUCUGAUGUUACUAAAAUUAUAUUGUUAGAUAAUUAUAUACUUUUGUAAAUAUAAAUAUUAUCCAUUUAUUUAUCAAAUUAUAAAAAUAUUAUUAUUAUAGUGAAUAAGUUUCCUUAUUUAUUUCAAACUUCAUAAAAUAAAUCAUAAAUUAAAAAAGAAAAAACAGUUCAUCUUUUCCUAUCCAUUUAUUUAUCUAUAUAUGUGUGUGACUAUGAAUAUAUUUAUUUGGAUUUCUAUAAUGUGGAAGAGCAUGUUUGAAGACUCUUUCUUAUAUUUUCGUCAGGGUGGCUGAAAUGAUCCGAGAAUUGCGUUUAUCAAUGUUUAGAUGAUGAUAUUUGGUGAGGUUUGGAUGGUGAUGGUGAUGGUGAUGUUACUCGACAAUAGAGAAUCCACAUCUCAACAUCAGGAGCAAAGGUAAGUUCUCAUCGCAUGCUUUGCUUGAUCUCCACCAAGUGCCCAUCUCAUUAAACAAAUGGGUUAGAUGAUAAACUAUAUUUAAUUCCCGUAUUUGUGAGCCCAAAGGCAAUCCUUGAGUCCAGAAUAGAAAAAUAAGGUUGCUUCAAACGUAAAGUUAUUGCUAACGACCGUUUCUUUAGGAAUAUUUUUUUUCUGACAAGUGGGUCUCUAUAUAUUAAGAGAUUAGAAAACAAAAUAGAAUGGGUUGGAGACCAUUGGAUAUGCUUUUGUCCUCUCCAAUCAAGAGAGGGUUAGUCAUGGGGCUCAAACUUAAUGGCUAUAUCAUAAGAUUGGCUGUAUGGAAGCUAGCUGUAUCAAAGCGACAACCACUUCAUGGGUUCCACUGGAGUAAUUUGAUUUUAAGUUAUUUAAUAUCUACUUAACCCAAUCUGAAGCUUUAAUAUACUACCAUCUAAGUGAUGAAAUUUUCAUCUGUUUCUUUCAUCAGUGCCAGUGCCAGGUUAAUUUUCGGAUUCUAUGUUCCGCUUCAUCCUUGAAGCAUACGCAAUUAAAUAUAGUUGGAUUGGUAGUGGGGGUUCCUCUUAAGGUAUUAGUUUAAAAUAAAAUUUUAUUAUUCUACAAAGAGCAUGUCAUAGAGCUUUGAUCGGGUCUUGCCCGGAUUCCAGUACAACGCUUGGACUGGAAAAAGCUAAAAUAUAAUAUAACACAAAACGUAAUAUUUUUUAUAAAUUAUUCAUUUAUUGAAAAAUCAAUAACUUCAUUAAGAUAAUAAUUUCUCUGGAUCUCAAAAGUAUUAUUUAGAAUUAUAAUAGACAAAAUGUAAUAGGAAAAGUUUAUAAUAAGAAAUAAAAUAAUAUUUUAUAUUUUAUAUUUAGUUCUUUAUAACAUAUUUAAUCAUAGGAUAAGUCCCAACAUAACUUAUCUAACAUCACCUCUAUAUUCCUCCUCAUAAAAUAUAAUAAUCAAAGUUGAAUGCAUAUCUUAUAUCUUAUGAAUCCUCAAAAUUUUUAAUUUUGAUGUCAAUUAUUUUUUGUAUAGUUAAGAUAAAGAAAUUUGAAUAUUAAUAUUUUAAAAAAUAAUAAUUUAACAUAUUUCCAAAUAUCUAAAAAUACAAAUUUUUUUUCCUAUUUAUAUAAUGAAGAUAAUAAUUCAAAAGCUAAUAAUUUAAAAGAACAAAGUAAUUUAAUAUGUUUUGAAAUAUGAAAUAUCCCAAAAUUGGUUACAAUAAUUAAAAUUUUAUAAUAUUUAGUGAUUUAAUUGAUUAGUAAAUUGGUCAUUGGUUAAUAAUCUAUAUUUUCCUAUUUUAUAUAAUAAAGAUAUGAUAUUUGAAAAUUAAUAAUUUGAAAAAAAAAUAAUUUAACAUAUUUCAAGAUAUAACAAAAUAGCAAAAUUGAUUACAAUAACAAAAUGUUGGUUAAUGAUUAGUAAUGUAAUUAAUAAAAAAAAUUGAUAAUUGGGUAAUAAUUAUUGUUCCUAAUAAGGUGUCAUCCUAAAAAAAUAUUAAAUCCUUGUAAGUUAAAUUUCAUUAAUUACUUAUUGAUUUUUGUUAAUAAAAUAUGUGUUCAUGAAAUUAAUUUAUUAAUUUCUUGUUCUUAAUUUAAGGAAGGGUAUCAAAUCUUACGAUUUUUUUUAAUUAAUUGGAAUAGUUUAUUCUAGUAGAUAUUUAUAACAUUAUGAGUUGUGUUUUGAACUUCUAACUGAAGAAAAUUCAUUGAUUAUGAGACAAAAAUAUUAGUUUAUGUGGUUGAAUCUUAGUUUGAAUCUUGGAAUUUUAUGGACAUAUUUUAGAUUUGUUUCUUAAUUUAGGACAAAGAUAAAACAUUUUAUAUUUUCCAAAGUGGAAAAACAAACAUUUAUGUUUAAGUUUUAAAGAAGAAAUAUAAACAAGCGUAAGCAAUUAUAUAGUCAAGAAAAUAAACAAGCCGAGAGCAACCUGAGAGCUCAUGGAAAACAAUUGUCUCAAUUUCUUAUUAUUUUUUAUUAUUAGGUGCAAAAUUCUUCGGCAAAAAUCUUGUAGUUGUCUUACAUGCCACCUUGCUAAAAAGUAUAUAAUUAAGUUGAAAAAUAAAGUCUUGGUCAAAAUAAAAAAGCAUGUGGGGGACCUUGUCUCAAAUCAAAAACAAAGGAAAUGAUGUGCGGGGACCUUCAAUGGGGGCAAACUAGUCUAUAAUUAUUCUUUCGCUCAUGCAUUUAUUAUCUUUCUCAAUGUUUUUAGAAUUGGAUUAGAGUUCAAUAAUCUGAAUUAAAUUUUUAGUAGUGAUGUGCCUUGUGGUUAAUUUAACCUCACAAUGAGGUGUUUCACAUAUUUGUGGGAAUAACCAUCCAUAUAUAGUCUAAGGAGACUUGGGAUAUAUUGCAAGUAACACAUGAGGGCUCAAUACCGUGAAAAUAUCAAAACUUCAAAUGCUCAUGGCUGCUUUUGAGUUGAUUCACAUGGCAAUCGGGUAAGAUAUGCUUGAUUAGGAUGGCAAUCGGGUAUGUUUGGAUGUGCCACCCUCAUCCUAAUUCCAUCCUAAUUAUAUAUAUUAUAACAAAAAACAAGAAGGCUUUCUGCUUUCCCAAUAAAUCGAAAAGGAUAACUACAAUUUUAUUUAGAUGCACAAAUUAGCAGCAAAACCUUGAAACUAUGAAUCAAUUUUGUCUAUAUUUUUCUCCAAAAAAUCCUACUUAACGUAAUCAUAGCACAUAUUGUGGGAAUUCCUGACUGAAUAACCAUUCCAAGUUGAGAUGCCCCAUAAAUUGUAAGAUAGUAAAUCUGAAAAAUACCAUUCAGAAAUUACUGAUAAUGGGGCAUAAAUUCUGCAGCUUCAGAUAUAUUAUGUCUAAAUAAGAAGACAAAAAGGAAUCCAAUUAUUAAAAUAGAUAAACGUUUCAAACUGAAAAAUGAAAAUUUAGUAAGCAUGAACCACUCUCUGAAGUCGGUGUGUGAUAAUGGGGAAGGUGAUAAAAAUAGUGUGUGAAUGCAACUUAUAGCUGGUCUUGUUCUUGCUUUUAGCUGAUCUUAUAGUUAAAAUAGUGUGUGAUCGCCCCUAGAUGCCUAGAGUAUUGGCUGAAGGAGGAGAGAAAAGGAAGGACAUCAACUUUCAUAAACGUUAAUCUUCUCCCAGAUGUGUCAUUCUUGAUUACUCUAUUAGAGGUAUUUUAGCAGUCCAUAGUGUGUAAAAUGGUCAAUUCCUUUGUUCAGACAUUUAAUCCAAAUAGUGAAUUUCAAGUGUAGGGGUUUCAAAUUCUCAAAUCCUAAAAAUCCAGAACAAUGUUGCUGAGCACAUUUAAUAUUUUUGUUAAAUAGCACAAAGAAAAAAAGAAAAGAAAAUUGAAAAAAAAAAAAGAAAAAAAAGAAAUCCUCCCAAAGAAUUAAUUUCAGUUGCUUCAAUAACUUUGGCGUACGGAAGUGAGGAGAGAAACAGAGGUGACUUAUCAUUAAUUAUUUUGGCGUACGGAGCCAUUCCUGGUGGCACUUCGGAAAUUUUCCAUAUUGUUACCACUUGUAUUUGGGGCAUAUAUAAGACGGAUCGCACACUUUUUCACCUCAUGCGAUGCCCCUGAUAGACUAAAAGAAGCCUCGAUGUGCUUGAACACACUGGCAUAGGUAGACUUUGAUUUCACAAAUUGACUGCGAGGUUGAUACAUCAUACACACGUGAUCCGUCUCAACAACUCGGUCUCCACUGUGUGUCCAAGUGAUGGAAUGACUGAAAUAAGGCCCUUCCCCGCAUUCAAAAAUACAGCGAAUCUCACCAGGCCGCUGAAUAGUUUCGCCCUCCUCAAGUGCAAACACAGCACAUAGAGCAACCCCCAAGAAGUUAUUGUCAAGCCAAUGUGGACGCAGGGUUGCUGAAACUGAAGCUCCCAUAUUCUCAUGCCAGCGCCCCUUUGGAAUCCUACUUCCAGGAAUCAAAAUACUGUACCCUAUUUCUGGAAAAAGUUUCUGCACCAUGCAGUUUAUAAUGUUAAUAUAAUAAUACCAUUGAGAGAGAGAGAGAGAAAGAAAGAAAGAGAGAGAGAGAGAGAGAGAGAGACCUGAUGAAGUGUCUCUAAUGCCAUUGCCACAUGAUCCUGAUAUAGUCCGGAGCAAUUCCAUAGCAUGAAUUCCACAGGACGAAGCCAAGUGGAAACCAACCGGUGUUGUAGGCUUAUCAUCCAAGAUGGAGUCGAUAAAGACCUCAGGGAUGUGCAAUCACAGGCAUCUAAUAAUUUUAUGUUUGGUGGAAGCUUCGGAAUUUUUUGAAGUUUCUCACACUGCCUCACCAAAAGAACUUUCAGAUUAGAAAGUCUACUGAUGUCUGCAGGUAUGCUAACCAUAUAGUUUCUGCUGAGGUUUAAUACUUCCAGAAGCUCCAAGUGGCAAAGCUUGUUAUCGAUUGUUCCUUCCAUUAAAUUGCAGUCACUUAGAUCUAAAUUUUUCAUGAAGCGUAGACCUGACAAAGAAGGCAACUGCAAACCAAUAUCAUCUGAAUUUUCUCUAUGCAGUAACCUGAAUGUAAGGGAUGAGAUCCAGAAGUUAGAUGUUGAUCCUUUGCAUCCCCUAAAUGAUAACUCUCUAAGGUUUGUCAAAUGAACAAGUGUGAUGGGUGGUUUUGUUAUGGCAGUUCCAUCAGCUUGAAGACUCCUUAAGCAUUGCAACAUUCCCAGGUCCUCUGGCAAUCUGUUGAGUUUUGAGCAACCAGAAACAAUGAGGGUUUCAAGAGAUUUCAAACCACAAAUUCUAUUUGGAAGACUCCUGAGGUCUUUGCAUUUUCUCAGAUUCAGUAACACAAGACCUUUGAGAUGAAGAAUUGAACAGGGCAGCUCUCUUAUAGAUGUUCCAUCUAAAAGAAGCUCUUCUAAAUGUUCCAUAACUUCCGUGAUCUCUGGAAUUCUCUCUAGUUUUGAACAGCCAGAAAGGAUGAGAGUUUUGAGGGAUUUCAAAUCACAAAUUCUGCCAGGAAGGAUCUUAAGGUUUUUGCAGCUUUUCAUAUUUAAUAAAACAAGCCCUCGGAGAUACCCAACCGAUGAGGGAAGUUCAAUGAUAGCAGUGCCUUCCAAAUAAAGCUCCAAUAAAGACUCCAUAUUGGCUUCGAUGUCUGGAAACUUCUCAAGUCUUGAGCACCCUGAGAGGUUAAGAACUUCAAGUUUUUUUCCAAUCCAAUGAUUCUGGGAAAAUAGUAAAGCAUCCUGCAGUUUCCCAAAUUCAAGAUCUUAAGAUUUUUCAGCCUAGGAAUUGAUGGGUGCACCUCAUGCAAGCUUGUACAACCAUCCAGAUUUAGUGUCUCCAGAGAUGGUGCACCAGACACGUCCGGACAUUCAACCAGGUAUGGAGAGUGACUGAGAUCCAUGACCUUUAAAUUUUCAAGACACUGUAACAUAAAAAUAAAAUAAAAAUUGUUGAAUAAAUUUUCUUGGAAGAACUUCAAAAUUUAUUGAGAAUAAGUAGUGAUCAUACCUUGUUCCCUUUCCAAAGGUGGUUUAAGCUGCUAUGCUUCAAACUGAGUUCAACCAGUUUCUUACCAUUAAAAUUUGACGGCAACGAUUCCAGACUCCAUCCAUCCCAAUGAAGAUAUCUUAAUUCAUAGGAAGGAAAUUCGAAUUCUUCGGGAAGGUGCACUGUGUUAGAAUCAUAUGAUGAAAGUCCAUCCCAAUAGACCCUGAGGAAUCGAAGUUUUGUCAUAUUUUUAAAAGCUUCAGUCGUAAUCUGUAUUUCUUUUGAUGCCGACACAUCAAAGGAUAUUCCUUCGAUUGCCUCUGUCCCCUAAAACCAACAACAGAGGAUAAGUGAAGCACAAAAUGCUUAAAAUCAUAUACAUAAGCAACUUCUUAAGUGAAAUUAAAUGCCUUAAAAGUUUAAAUAAGUUCAGGCACUUGUCUCUUAAAGUUUUUUGUGUCAACACAGCAUGAACAUCUUCUGGAUUCCACAAUCUACUCCAUUUGCCAGGUUGUCCAGGAAAUUCUCCCCGAAUGAUUUCCCAACCCAUUUUUUGCAUCAAAUCAUGCAUUUCUAUCUUGUUGUCUAAAAUACUGAUGAGAGAACAAUCUUUGAGAACUUCCAUUCCAAUUGUAGAGAAGUUGCAACUAUCAAGUAUUCUUCCAACAGAAUCUGAGUCCUUCCCUCUGAAGAACAUGCAAUAUCAAGGAAUAGAUCCUUUUCUGUGUGAUCCAGUCUAUCGUAACUUAAUCUAAGCACUUUUUGGACAUUCCUUUCCCCUACUGUUUGUAGCUUAAGCAGUGUAUUUUCCCAUUCAAGCUUCCUCCUACCAUACAGGAGAGAUCCCACAACUUUAACAGCAAGCGGAAGUCCAUCACAGUAAUUUAAUGCACGUCCGGAGAGGUCCCAAAACCCAUCGCGAGGAAGGUCUGCCUUGAACGCCCACAAACUAAACAGUUGAAGAGCUUCCUCAGAGUUUAAUUUCUCAACCUCAUAUAAUUCAUCAACUUCAUGCACAUCGAGUAAAUGUUUAUUUCUCGUUGUUAUGAUAAUUCUACUACCUGAACCAAACCAGUGAUGGCUCCCUGCCAAGAAUUCUAAUUGAGUCAAAGCACUAACAUCAUCUAGAAUGAUAAGAACCUUUCUAGAGCAAAGCGUCUUCUUUAUCAAGCUAAUGCCUUCAUCAAUGUUGCUUAUGCGUGCAAUUUUUGGCCAUAGGAUAUCUUCUAGAAGUUGUCUUUGUAAUUCAAGCGAUCCACGGUGUUCCUCUACCUCUGCAACAUUUGAAAGAAAUCUAGCAUCUUCGAAUUGAUGAGCAAUUUGGUUGUAUAUUCCUUGGGCGAGGGUAGUCUUGCCUAUUCCAGCAAUUCCAUGUAUUCCUAUCAUUCAUUCGAACAUCAUUUGACUCCAUACAUAAUCGUGACGACAUUUCUUCCAAACGGGAAUUGAUUCCUACCAGGUUGUCAGGAAGAUAUAAGAGUUCAGGACGACAGUUCAGCAUUUUCGAAAUGCGUCGAACAAUUCCUUGAAUAAUCUGAGAUUCAUACCUGCCAAAUAAAAAGCACAAUAUACGAACGGCAAAUUAAUUAUAAGAAAGGCAGGGAAAAAAAUAAAUUGAUGAUGUUUAAUUUCAAUAUUUGUCAUGCUAUCAAUUGAUUUAUCCUAAUGCCUAAUUCUGAUCAAUAGUACUAUCAUGGAGACAAAAUACUAUCAUUUUGUGUAUAUAUAUAUAUGAAAAGGAUUUUAAUACUAAAGUACUAAAAAUGAUUUGUUUUUAAAUUUAUUUGUAAUUAUAAAACUAUUAAUAAUGAAUAUAAUAUGAAUUCAAUUUCAUUAAUAUUAUAUAUAAAUUGAAUUCACAAAUUUUUUGACAAAAUUUAAAUAGUAAAUUUAUUUUUCAAAAUAAUUUAUCCAAAUGAGUAUUUUAUUUUUUAUUUGUUGAAAAGUGAUUUUAAAAGCAAGUUAUCAAGUACCAUUGUUUUUUAAAAAUACUAAAAAAUAUGGUAUUUGUUCUUUAAUUUAAAAAUAUAUUUUAAAAAUAAAUAUAAAAAUACAGUGCUAAACCAAUCUUAAAAUUUGAAUAUGUACAAGCAUAUAGGAGGUGAGCAAUCAGGAAUACAAAGAAUUGACUAAGAUUCCAUUAAACAGUGUUUUUUCAAGAAUCACUCAAAGUAAAUUUUUAAUUUUUUAAAACUAGUUAAAUUUUUGUUCAAAAACAUUUUUUUUAGAAUGUUUUUCUAUUUUUGAAAUUAAAACCCUGUUUUAAAAAAUUUAUGGUCAGUUUGGUGGUCAUUCUCUACAAAUAAUCUUUAAAAAUAAGAUGAAAUAAAAAACAAUUUUGGAGAACAAGUAAUAGAAGUUAUUUUUACAUAUUUAUAAAAACAAAGAAAAGCAUUGGGAAGUAAUUUAAAAAAGAAAACAAUAAAAAAUUAAACAAAGUCCAGUAGAUGUCUUUCUUCUUUUAUUCUCUCUCCACCGAUCAGUAUCAAAAUUUUUAAAUAUGAUUCCUUUUUAAUUACACUUUAUUUAUUUAUUUAUUUAUUUGAAUUUACUUUAACUUUUAAAUUUCUUUAGAUAAAUAAAUUCCAAAUCAAAUGGUACUUGAUAUAUAUGAUUUAUUAAUUUAAAAAAAAAUUAAAACUCAAAAACCAAUCCAAUUAAUAUUGGAAAGUUACAAAACUCAAAACCAAUAUAGAAAACAAAUUUUGUUAAUUUUUUUACCAAGCAAAUGAACUUCAAAUCAAGCAAAACUUCCUAUAUUUUUUUUAUUCAUAAAUAAGUUUAGUAAUUUUUUAAAAUAAUUUUAAACUCAAAUAAUAACUAAAUUAAUAUAAAAAAAUUAUAAACAAAAAUUAGUUUAAUAUGACUUUAUUAUUUAAUUAAUGUGUAGAAUCAUUUUUUCUUUAAUUUGUUAGCAAGUUUAUCAAUUUGAAAAAAAAAUAGAAUUCAAAACACAACACAAUUAGUAGUGGAAAUUCACGAUCUAAAUUCUAUCCAAAAUGACUCUUAUAUUUCUCAUACAUAACUUUAUUUUUAUGGGUUUUGUCGUUGGAAAAUGGAUUUUUAAUAGAAUUAAAAAAUAGACGCAAGUACUAUAAAAAAUAAUAAACCAAAAUUACUAUAAAAAAUAAUAAACCAAAAUUAAUACAUAAUAAGUUAUAACUUACUGUUUCUCCUAAGCGCAUAACCAUAUUGUAGACCCCUUUUUUAUGAGGGGCCCCUGGGGGGGGGGGGGGGCCUUUUCUCCAAGAGGGAACCAGAUGGGACGGGCAGCCAGAGAGGAAUGGCAGCCAUGAAGGUGGUUAGGAGGCAAUGCUGCUGAGGUGAUGAACAGCAAAUGGGGGUAAUGGCUUGCCUAGGAAGAUAGCACCUGCUGCCGGGGGACAAAAGAGGUGGGGGGAUCUGAAAAAGGAAAAAAAAAAAAAAAAAAAGGAGAGAACGGAACUGGAGGGGGAAGCUCGGAAGGCAAAACGGGAGAGAGCUAGCCAGAGAUAGGAGGAAACACGCCGGUGAGACAUCUUGAAGGAGGUUGUCCCAGGUAUCAUUUCCAUAUGUUGUUGAUGCUUUCUUGUUCACGCCAUUCUGUCAUUUUUUUUUGGGUAUUGUGAGAUCCUAUUCUGGUGUCUGAAUGUGAGCAUAGGAGAUCCUUACGUAUUGCUUUUAACAUCUGAGUUUGAUCACACCUAUUUUAUGCUUGAUUUCUAUGUCUUCUUGGCUCUGUUUUGAAGAUUUCAUAUGAGGUAUUUGCAGUCCCUCCACCAUACCCAUCAAUUAAUACUUUGCCAUCUUCAUUUCCUCCGCUUGCCACCCUCCAUCAUCCACUCCCCACCGCCUAGUUUUCCUUUCUCACUCAGCGCAUAAGAAGCAUGCAUGCAUGGCUGCCUUCACUUCCCCACACCCAUCUUCAUACCCAUGCUCCAAUAUUCGUCAAGCUCAUCCCCCCAUGCUUGCAUGGCCACACGAAGCUGCCAUCGCUCCAUCCCAACCCUGCAACAUCCAUGCAAACACCCAUCUUUCCAUACCCAUCUCCACGCCAAUCCCACCCCUCGCCACCUUUUUUUCUCUAUGCCCGCGUAUCCACCAUCACUCACACCUCCAUGCGCGCGAGUCCUCUUCAGUGGCUGGGGAACGGGCAACAGCCAAGCAAGCCUUCCAUUCCCCACAGACCUCGCCGGAGCCGCCUUUGGGGUUCAGCGCCGCUGCUUCGGUUCGGGGCGCCUCUCUCUAGGCUAUCGACGGCGGCCUGCUCGCCGUCCUCUUCGACUGCUCCCGCGGCGUGGUCGACGACGCCAUCGGCGGAGACGUCCACCUAUUGGUGUCGUGGCUUCGAAAGCCAUGUGUCUCCACCGUCUCGGCGCCGCCAUCCCUGCCCCUCUCCUCUACGUCGUUGCUGGUGGAGCCUUCGCCUAAAGGAGUUGCCCAGAUGGAGAGGGAUGCCUUGGGCUGUGAAGGAGCUUGUGUGGGUGACGGGCUUGGUUUUGCCCAUGAUGGCUUUGGGCUUGGGUUUGAAUUUGAAGCCCAGGCCCAAGCCUAUGCUGAAGAUGGAGCCUUGAGUCUUGCCCAUUGAUGUCAUUGGACUUGGGCUUAAGUUGGAGCCCAGGCCCAUUUACGUUGAUGAAGGCCUUAUGCCUGCCACCCUCAUUAAGGUGGCCCAGGUCCAUGUCAAUUAGCCCAUUAGGUUGCCCCCAAAUUCUAAACAAUUUUCUAAAAAAAAAACCUCUAAUAUCCAUAAUUAAUUAGUUUGUUCAUCCCCAUUUAUUUGCUAUCUAAGUUUAUGUCUACCAACUUAGUUAACUCAUACUUAAAGACGAAUUAUUAUUGUUAAUUAUAUUUUUAUCUCAAAAUUUAUACUAUUCAAUUUCACUAGCUUAAACAUUAUGAUUAUUAAUUAUUAUUUCGCGUGUAUCUAUUUGUCAUCUUAAACAAAAAAUCUCAGUCAUCAAAGUUAAAUUCUAAUCCUUGAAAAAUCUCAUAUCCUAAUCUAAUCUUUCAAUAAUCUAUUUAAAUCCCAUUUUCAUCAAAUAAGAAUUAUUACCAUAUAUUAUCCAGCUAUUUAAAGUCUAAGGCUUUCAAAGAAAUCAUGUGUCUUAAUUAAAUUCUUCAAUAAUUAUUUCAAAUUUCAUUAUCAUCCAUUAGAGUUAGUAUCUCAUAUUUAUUUACUAAUUUAAAAUCCAACCCUUCAGAAAUCCGAUGUCCUAACUUAAUUUUCAAACCCUUAAAAAUUUCACUAUUCUUUUUAUUCCGUUCUAAAUGAUUAUUUUCGUUAAUUAGUAUUAUUAUCCUAUAUUAGUUUAUUUAUCCAAAAUCCAAUCCUUUAAAAAGAUCCAAUGUCACAAUUUAAUUAUCAAUCCUAAAAUUCUACUAUUUGGCUAAAUGUUAUUUCCUUUCAUUUGAAUUAGUAUCCUAUAUUCAUUUACUUAUUUAAAGUCUAAUCCCUCGAAAAUCUAACUCCCUAACUUAAUUUUUCAAUUCUAAAAAUUCCGCAAUUCGCUCAAAUCUUAUUUUCAUUAGAAUUAUCCUCCCCUAUUUACCUAUCUAUUUAAAGUCUAAUCCUUCGAAAAUCCCGUGCCUUAACCUAAUUUUUGAAUAAUUCGUUUAAACCUUAUUUUCAUCAAUUAAAAUCAUUAUCUCAUAUUUAUUUUAGUAAUUUAAUCUUUCAAUAAUCUGUUUAAAUCUUGUGUUCAUCAAUUGGAAUUAUUAUCCUAUAUUCAUCCAUCUAUCUAGUCUAAUCCUCCAAAAAUCCCAUGUUUUAAUUUAAUUCUUCAAAAUACUUGUUUAAAUCAUAUUUUCGUAAAUCGAAUCUAUAUCCCGUAUUUAUUAUCUAUUUAAAGUCUAAUCCAUCAAGAAAAUCCCAUGCUUUAAUUUAAUCUUUCAAUAAUCCGUUUAAAUCUUAUGUCCAUCAAUUGGAAUUAUUAUCCUAUAUUCAUCCAUCUAUCUAGUCUAAUCCUUCAAAAAUCCCAUGCUUUAAUUUAAUUCUUCAAAUAUUCGUUUAAAUCUUAUUUUCAUCGAUCAGGAUUAUUAUCCCAUAUUCAUCUAUUUAUUUAAAAAUUAGUUCUUCAAAAAUCUCAUGUCUUAAUUUAAUUUUUCAAUCCUAAAAAUUCUACAAUUCGUCUAAAUUUUAUCCUCACCCAUUAGAAUCAUUAUUCCAUAUCUAUUCAAAGUCCAAUCUUUCGAAAACCCCCUGUCUUAACUCAACUUUCGAUCCCAGAAAUUCCAUUAUUCGUCUAAAUUUUAUUUUUGUUAAUUAGGAUUCUUGUUCCACAUCUAUUUAUUUAUAUAGGAUCCAAUUCUUCAAAAAUCCAAUUUAUGAAUUAAAACUUCAAUCCCGAAAAUUCUACUACCCAUCUUUAUUCGCCUAAAUAUUAUUCUCGUUAAUUAGUAUUAUAAUCUCAUACCUACCUAUUUACUCAAAGCCUAAUCCUUUAAAAAUCCAACGCCCUAAUUCAAAUUUUCAAUUAGAAAAAUUCCACUAUUUUAUUUAUUUAUUUUAUUCGUUUAAACAUUAUUUUUGUUAAUAAGUAUCAUUAUUCCAUAUUUGUUCAUUUAUUUAUUUCAAUCAUUAAAAUUCAACUCUUCAAAACCGGAUUUCCAAAUUUAACCUUUAGACUAAAAAAAUUCCACCAUUCACUUUUAUUCACUUAAAUAUCAUCUUUGUUAUCAUUAUUAUAAAUUCCACGUUUACUUGUUUCUUUCUUCUAAAAAUUCUAAUAAUUAGAGUUCAAUUAUUCAAAGGCCCGACUUUUAAAAAUUAAUUUUCAAAAUCCCACUAUUCACUUUCAUCCGUUCAAAUAUCACUUUCGUCAAAAUCCGAUUUUCCAAUUUAAUUUUUAAUCUCACAAAUCUCACUAUUCAGUAUUCAUCCAUCCAAAUAUCGUUUUGAUUAAUUAGUAACAUUAUUCCAUACUUACCCAUUUAUUUCUCUUAAAAAUUUCAAUCAUUAAAGUCUAAUUCUUCAAAAUUCCGAUUCCUAAAUUUAGCUAUUUGAAAUUCCAAUUGUCCUAUCUCCGAACUUAAUUUUCAGUUUCUCAUGCUCCAAUUCCCGUAUUUAUCCCGUUACUUAUUAUUAUCAUUAUCAUUAUCAUCUUAUUCAUUAUUUCUAUAAAUUCUGCCUUCGAAUGAUUUCUAAGAUUUCCAAUUUUUAUACAUCAACUUUCAUAAUUUCUACGUCUCAAAUAACUUACGAUUCUGAUCCCUUUCGAAAUUUAACUCCCAUAAUCCCAAUUUUCGUAACUUAAUUUUUCUUUAAAAUCCCGAACUUUCAAAUAAUCCUUCAAAAUCCCAAUUUUCUUUCAAAUUUAAUUUCUAAAAGUUCUCAUUCUUACAUUUAAUUCCUAAGAAUCCAAUUUUCAAAUAAACUCUAAGAUUCCGAUUCUCAAAUGAAUUUCAAAAACCCAGUUUUCCUUCGAACAAUUUUAAUCUCUGCUUAGUGAUGCAUGUGAUAUGUUUUGUGCUCUAUAUGGUGUACUAACCCUCUCUAUUGAUAGCUCAUGGUGGCUCGUUGCCUAGGUAUGUACCCAUUUUCCCUCUAAUCGUUGUUUGUCCAUGUCUCGAUUCUUAUGUGUGCAUGAUCAUUCAGGAUAUUCAUUGAUUUACUCAUCAAUUGCCACAUUAGCUUCAUUUUAUUAGUAGAGACUCGACUUUAGGGACUUAGAGGGGUGCUAUGGUUUUCACCGUACCUUCCCGAUAAGUAACUUGACCCCCAAGCCUGAUCCGGUUUUUCGUAGAUCACCUUUUUCAAAACUAGGAGUCGCACUUAGGGUUUUUCUUUCUUAUUUUGUUUACCCUUUUAAAAAUAAAACAAAAAUAAGUGGCGACUCCAAGUCAAUUUUUCUUAAUCAAUUAAGAUCAUUUUUCGAAAUCAAAAUCGAGCUCGCCUUCGAGUAGGAAACGCAUGAGUUGAAAUGUGGGGUCCACACAUAUUUUCCAAUUUUUCUUGCUAGGUAAAUAAAAUCCAAAUUGAGACUUAAUAUCUUAAAUUCUUUAAUGAAUCUUCUCAUUUUUAAGAUAAUUUGAAAUUAAAAAAAAAAAAACUAAAGAUAAAAACUAAUCCAAAAUACUAUGCCCUCAAUUGAAUGGUAAAUGUAUAGAUGUAAUAAAUUUUUUACAUAUUUAAAUAUUAAAAAUAUUAAACUUUAUUUAUAUUUAAUAAGUUGAGACUUAACAUCUUAAAUUCUUUAAUGAAUCUUCUCAUUUUUAAGAUAAUUUGAAAAAAAAAAAAAAAAACUAAAGAUAAAAACUAAUCCAAAAUACUACGUCCUUAAUUGAAUGGUAAAUGUAUAGAUGUAAUAACAUUUUUACAUAUUUACAUAUUAAAAAUAUUAAACUUUAUUUAUUUAAAAAAAAAAAUUGAAUAAAUUGAGACUUAAUAUCAUAAAUUCUUUAAUGAAUCUUCUCUUUUUUAAGAUAAUUUGAAAUUUAAAAAAAAAAAAAAAACUAAUCCAAAAUACUAUGUCCUUAAUUGAAUGGUAAAUAUAUAGAUGUGAUAAAAAAAUUUACAUAUUUAAAUAUUAUAUUUUAUUUAUUUUUAAAUUUUUUUGAAUAAAAUAUUAUUAAUUUUAAAUUAUUAUUUCUUUUAAUAAAAAAUCAAUUAAGCUUUAGAAAGAUGAUCAUAUUUUUAUAGUAUGUACUAAAAUACUAUCAUUUUUGUAUAAAUAUAUAUAUAUAUAUAUAAUUCAUUAUUUUAGUACUAAAACUACUUAUUUUUUAAUUUAUUUAUAAUUAGAAAACUAUUUUUAGUUUAAUAAGACUUUAACUAAAUUUCAUUGAUAUCAUAAAAAUUGAAUUCACAAUUUUUUUGAUAAAAUUUAAAUAGUAAAAUUACUUUUAAAAACAAUUAAUCGAAAUGGGUUUUUUAUUUUUAUUUUUUUGUUUUUUGAAAAGUAAUUUUAAAGACGAGUUACCAAAUCCUAUUUCUUUUUAGAAAAUAUUAAAAAAUCAUUUUUUAUUCUUUAAUUUAAAAAUAAUUUUUAAAAGCAAGUAGAAAAAAGCAUUGCUAAUUCGACGCCCUAAAUUUCUAAUAUGUAAACAAGCAUAUAGGAAGUGAGCAAUGGGGAUGCCAAGAACGAACUCUCAGUUAAUUUUGGUCAUGCUUAUCCGAUUUCAUCAAACUUAGUUUCCAACACUUAAAAAUCAAACAUAAUUGUGACUUAAGUUGUCAAUGAAUAAAAAGCAACUCAAAACGGAAGAGAUGGAGUAGUUAUAUAACAUACCCAUGCUGCACAUGCCAUCCAGACAGACCGCCGACUUCGGUCAGUGCCGCCCUCCAUCUAAGCACCCUCUCCUCAGUGACGUUUCCAUAUCUUGCAAAUGCUUCUCCAAAACUUCUCGUUUGUUUCCGCACAUCAGACAGAUCCACAUGGUAGAAAAUUGGUAGAACUUUUUGGCCAUUUUCUCUGCUGCACUGCAUGAUCUUAUCAAGCUCAUCCAAGCACCAUUUUGAAUGAGCAUAGUUUUUGGAAAAAACUGUAGGGAAUUAAACCAAAUUCCCAACCUAUGAGAAACAAAAAUAGAAAAACACAUGCCAAAGAAAAGACAAUCACACGCACAAAACAGUAUUUACGUGGUUCGGCAAUUUGCCUACGUCCAGGGAGUUGUAGGGAUAUCACUAUUAUCAGGGAAGAAUACAGAGUACGACUUAGCGGCUAUAAUAUUCUCUCUAUAUAUAUAGCACGGCAACCCCACCAUACUAAAAAACCCUAAUUACAAAAUGUGGUUCCACAAUGGGUUAAACGGGCCCAACAGGCCUCAAUAAAUCUCCCAUUAAAAAGUCAUGCAAUAUUAUUCGAGUCGGGUCGUUAAACCGGAUCAAACAAAACUAGGCUCCACACAGCCCAACAAAUCUCCCACUUGGAGACUAGUCCAAUCACCAACAUCAAACCGCUAUCCUCCAAGAAACAAUCCCUCAUCCCUACAACUCAUCCUCCUGUCCUCAAGCUAAAAGACCAAUUGAAGCUGCGCAUAACUUCAACUUCUCAAUAGUGAUCAGUUUCACAUCUCUUGAACCUAAUUCUAUGCAUAAAAUUGUCAAACUUCUUAUACCACUGUCUAGGAGCUUGUUUAAGGCCAUACAAGCUCUUUCUCAGUUUGCAGACUAGAUUCUCUUGUCCCUGAACAAUGAACCCUUCUGGCUGAAUUAUGUAAAGGUCUUCCUCCAAGUCACCAUGAAGGAAUGUUGUCUUCACAUCUAACUACUCAAGAUGUAAGUUUUCUGCAGCCACCAUUCCAAGUACAAGUCUAAUUGUUGACAUCUUCACAACUGGAGAAAAUAUCUCUGUGUAGUCAAUGCCCUCCUUCUGCUAGAACCCUUUAACAACUAAUCUAGCCUUGUAACGUUUGCUACUAUCAUGCUCAUUCUUUAUUCUGUAUACCCACUUGUUGUGCAAAGCCUUCUUUCCUACUGGCAAUUCAGUUAGUUCCCAUGUUUGAUUCCCCAACAGGGAAUCCAUCUCAUCCUUCAUGGCUAACUCCCACUUGCUUGAAUUCUCAUCUUGCAAGGCUUCAUCAUAACACUCUGGCUCACCACCAUCAGUCAACAGGAGAUAAUUUAAAACAGGUGAAUAACGCUACGGAGGUCUAAUGUUCCUGGAAGAUCUGCGAACUUUAGCUACAAGUGUACUCAAAUCUACCUGUGAAUUUACAUUCUCCUUAUCUUCUUCACCCCCUUUUUGGAUAGUACUUUCAGUCAAUUCAUCUAAGUUGACAAACUCAGAUUUCUUUUGAUCUAUCUCUGUAACAUCUGACACUAUAGUUGACCUGUCCUUAUACAUAACCUGUUUAUUAAAUAUCACAUUUCUACUUCUGAUGAUUUUCUUGUUUUGUUCAUCCCAAAACCUAUAGCCAAAUUUCUCAUCACCAUAGCCAAUGAAAAAACAUAUUUUUGACUUUGCAUCAAGUUUACUACGAGCAUCAGAAUCAAUAUGAACAUAAGAAACACAACCAAAAACUUUUAAAUGUGAAAACUUCACCUCUUUACCGCUCUAAACCUCCUUAGAAAGUCUGAACUCCAUGGGAACUAAUGGUCCUCGGUUUAUCAGGUAAGCUGCAGUGCUAACAACAUCAGCCCAAAAAGUUUUUGGUAGUUCAGCAUGCAACCUCAUACUUCUAGCACGCUCAUUGAGAGUUCUGUUCAUGCGCUCAGCCACACCAUUCUGCUAUGGUGUCCCAAGAAUGGUUUUCUCCAUCCUAAUUCUCUGUGCAACACAAUACUCACUAAACCCUCCAUCUAUGUACUCUCCUCCAUUAUCUGACCUCAAAUAUUUUACUUUCAAACCUGUUUCUGUCUCAACCAUGGCCUUCCAUUUCUUAAAAGUUUCAAAUACAUCAGACUUAUUUUUCAGAAAAUAAACUCAUACCUUUCUACUUGGAGUCAUCAAUAAAAGUGAUGUAGUACCUUGAAUCUCCUAGGGAUGCAACCGGAGAAGGCCCCCACAAAUCAGUGUGUACUAGUUCCAAUUUUUCAGCCUUCUGUGUCCUGCCAGUUUUCAAGAAGCUCACCUUUUUUUGCUUUCCUAAGAUGCAACUUUCACACAUGUCAAAAUCAAUGGACUUCAAUUCUGGUAGUUUUCCUUUUGACAACAACAUCUUCAUCUCUUUCUCACUCAUGUGACCAAGUCUGCGGUGCCAUAGGCUUGUAUCAGUACUUGCAUCAACAAUUGCAAUUGUGUCUCUUGGACAUGAGAUCAUAUACAGAGUACCGGUCUUCUUUCCACGAGCCAAUACCCUAGCUCCCUUUGUAACCUUCCAAGUACCACCAACAAAUAGUAUUGCAUGUCCUUCAUCAUCAAGUUGUCCAACAGAAAUCAGAUUCCUCCUCAGGUCAGGAAUAUGUCGAACCUUCUCCAAUAACCAAACAGACCCAUUGGGCAACGAUAUCCAGACGUCUCCCAGACCCACAACAUCCAAGGCUGAACCAUCAGCCAAAUACACCUUACCAAAAUCACCUGUAACAUAAUUCUGUAUGAUUUCUCGGUGUGGAGUGGUAUGAAACGAAGCUCCUGAAUCCAAAACUCAAUCAUCAAGUGGACUGUCUACUGCAAGAAGUAAUGCAUCAUGUACCUCUUCUGUUACAACAUUAGCAGAAUCAUCUUCAUUCUUCUUCUUAGGGCUUUUGCAUUGCCUUUUAAAGUGACAUGUUUUCCCACAAUUCCAGCAUUGUACUUGUUGGCCUGAUCUAGAUUUGCUUCUGUUUCGAUUAGAAUUUCUGGAAUUUGAUCUACCCCGAUUUGAAUUUCUGUCAUUACCUUUGCCUCUUGUCUCAAGGUUUCACCUGCAUCUCUUCGGUGAAUCUCCUCAACCAUAAUUAAAUCUUGUAUAUCAUUGUACUUGAGCUUUUCCUUUCCCGUCGAAUUGCUUACUACCAUCCUCAUUGCCUCCCAACUGUUUGGCAAAGAAGCCUAGACGAUUAGAGUACGAAUCUCAUCAUCAAAAUCAAUUUCUACAGAUGACAAUUGAUUUGUGAUUGUAUUAAAUUCAUUCAGAUGUUGUGCUACUGAUGCAUUCUCUGCCAUCUUCAAAUUGAACAAUUUCUUCAUCAGAUGCACCUUAUUGUUUGCGGGCGGCUUUUCAUACAUACCGGACAAAGCCUUCAUCAAAUCUGUUGUGGUCUUCUCCUUUACAACAUUAUGUGCAACAGACCUAGACAGAGUUAACCUAAUAACUCCUAGAACCUGUCUGUCAAGAAGCGCUCAUUCCUCAGCCUUCAUACUCUCAGGUUUUGUCCCCAAAAGAGGCAGAUGCAAUUUCCUCCCAUAGAGAUAAUCUUCAAUCUACAUCCUCCAAUACGCAAAGUCUGUGCCAUCAAACUUUUCUAUUCCAGACGUUUUUCCUACUUCCUCUGCCAUUGCUCCCACUCAAACCUAACCCUAGGCUCUAAUACCAAUUGUAGGGAAUUAAACCAAAUUCCCAACCUGUGAGAAACAAAAAUAGAGAAAACACACGCCAAAGAAAAGAUAAUCACACGCACAAAACAAUAUUUACGUGGUUCGGCAAUUUGCCUACGUCCACGGAGUUGCAGGGAUAUCACUAUUAUCAGGGAAGAAUACAGAGUACGACUUAGCGGCUACAAUAUUCUCUUUAUAUAUAUAGCACGGCAACCCCACCAUAUUAAAAAACCCUAAUUACAAAAGGUGGUUCCACAAUGGGCUAAACGGACCCAACAGGCCUCAAUAAAUCUCCUAUUAAAAAGCCAUGCAAUAUUAUUCAGGUCGGGUCAUCAAACCGGAUCAAAUAAAACUAGGCUCCACAAAGCCCAACAAAAACUACAAUAGACAUCUUUGAUUCUUCAAUAGCUUUCAAGAGUCAAGUUUGAAUCUCUCCUCUUCUUUGAAGUCCUUCUUCAUCUCUAAAGGUGUGGAUGUACCUACUCGUCAAAGCCGAAUAAAGAUGAUCCGUAAAAUUUGAAGCUGGUAUCUUCCCCUCUAAAGCUCAAAAAAACAUCCCAUCUCCGAUAUUGAAAAGAAGAGGUGCCUGAAGAAGCCAUUCUUGGGAGCUAUCUGGUUGUGAGUCCCAAAUUCCAAGACACUGAGAAAAUUUUGGGUCGUCAUGGAAAGAUUCUCUCUCUCGACCUUUUUAACAUAGGAACUUCCUCUAAUCUUGCAAGGAACUUUCAUAUUUUUUAUUUUAUCUUAUUCUUUUUAGUUUUUAAUUUUGUUAAUGCCUAUAUGCAUUGUGUUUGGAACAAAGGGCGAGGCUUCAUGGAAAGGCCGGUGCAUUUUCUUUCUGUGAGAGGUGAAUAGGCCAGGAAAGAAGGUGGACAUCAAAGUCAACACUGACUGCUAUUGCCUGCCUCUUUUCUCAUUUUUGGACUAUGUUGUAGCUUUUUCAUUCCUUAAUCCCAUACCAUCAGUAAUCAACAUUUUAUCAAUUUUUCUUAUUUUUUAUUGUUUACAUUUAGAAAUAUUAAUUUUAAAAUUUUAACUUAUAAGUUAAUUUAUAACCACAGCAACAACAACAACAAUAAUUAGGAGUAAAGCAUAUUAAAGGUUUGUUGAGAAUGAUUUUGAUAAAAAUAAUUUAAACUUGUAAUAGUAUUAUUAAUAACAAUUUAUUAUAUAUAAAUUUUUAUAGUCAUUUAAUGUUCACAUAUAAGUGAAAAAAUGUUCUUGAUAAUUUGUGUAUUAAAGGUUUGGGAUACAAUUUUAAAAUUCACCUUCCCUAUUUUGUCAUCAAUGAUUCGCUGAGUCCUUUUUAAAAAUGAUAAAAUUUAAAAUAAAAUUCACUUUGUGUCUUGACGCUUUUUCUUUUUGACCAAGACUCUCUGUGUCAGCCUGACGCUUUUUCUUUUUUACCAAGACUCUGUGUUUAUAUGAGGGAGAGAAAGAGAGAGAGAGAGAGAGAGAGAGAGAGAGAGAUAUGCUCUUUUUAGCAAGGUGGCAUCUCAGCAACUACAAGGUUUUUGAGACAAUUAUUUUCUUGGCUAUAGAAUUGCUAAGCCCUAUUUCAUAUUUGAUUUUCACUUGGGAAAAUAAGAAAUGUUUUAACUUUCUCUAAUUUUAUUUUUUUCCCUUUCGUUUUUUCAACCUCUAAAUUUUACAACAUGCAAAUGCAAUUAAUAAUUAUUGACUUACAAAAAUAAAUUAAAUUAUCUCAAUUUCAUUUUCAUGUAAUUGAAUUGAAAAAUGAAUUUACCGUAAAUGAGAAAAAAUGUUAAUUAAAAAACCAAGCUAAUUUGAAAUAGGUGGUAUUUUUUAUCAAGAAAAUUUAAAUCUAAAACUUUUAAAUUUUCACUCAAAAGAAAAAUUGGUAAAUACAAAUAACUUAAUUUGAUUAAGAAAUGAACCUAACAGCCUUCUUGUCCAUCUUGUUGCGUAGAUGAUUAGGUACAAAGACAUAGCAAACACAUCCGAAAACUCGAAAAUAACUAACUGUAGGCUUUAUGUUCCACAAUUUUUCAAAGGGUGAUGAAAAAUUUAACCUUUGUUGAGGAAGCCUAUUGAUCACAAAAGCUGCAGUCUUCAUUACUUCUGCCCAAAACCGUCCUGGAACAUUCUUUGCAUGAAGCAUACUUCUACAGAUUUCUGCUAGGUGCCUGUUCUUUCUUUUUGCUACGCCGUUUUGAUGCGGAGUGUUGGCACAUGUGAAUUGAUGGCGUACUCGGCAUUCUCGGAGGAAGUAAAAAAACUCAUCUGAGGUAUACUCUCCCCCAUUGUCAGUACACAGACAACAAAUUCUCUUAUCAACCUCUGCUUCCGUCAUUUCCUUGAAUUCUUUAAACUUUGAGAAAGUUUCAGAUUUUUAUUUCAUAAAGUACACCCACACGUACUUGGAAAAAUCAUCAAUAAAGGUCACCAUGUAUUUCAUCCCACUAAGAGAGGCUUGCUUAACAGGUCCAAACACAUCAGAGUGAAUUAGCUCUAAUGGCCCCUUUGCUUUCCAUUUUGACUCUUCAUACGGCAACUGAUGCGCUUUGCCGUACUGACGUCCUGCGCAGAUUGUAUCUUUUCUCACUUCAAGUUGUGGAAGUCCCUUCAGCAUUGACUUUUUCAUCAUCACAGUUAGUUUGGAAUAACUAACGUGACUUAAUUGCAUAUACCAUAAAUCGGCUGUCUCGUUCUUUCUGGUCUUGUCUACAUAUGCGGUUUCUGCAAACAUCACAUAGACUGACUCUAGUCUCCGUCCCUUUAUCACCGGCUCUUCCAUAAUCUCAAGGUCACGAUAAACUUUCACAUCUUGAGGGCCAAAUAGAACAAAAUGGCCUGAAGACGUUAAUUGUGCAACCGAGAGAAGAUUUUUCUUCAUACCUGGGACGUGAUAGACAUUUUGAAGCAUCACAUCAUUAGUAUUAUAUUGGGAAAAGACUACUGUAUUACCAAUGUGAGCUAUUGGUAGUUUUGAGUUGUUCGCUGUGACUACCAUAUGUCUUCCCUUGUACUCCGAAAAAUCCUGCAGCUUUUCUUUAUCACCUGUCAUAUGAUUUGGGUAGCCUGAGUCAAUGAUCCAAUCCUUCUCAUAAUGAAUUUGUUUAGACGUUGUUGCUAUAAAAGCUAAUUCUCCUAUUACAACAAAAAAUGCCUGAGUGUCCCACUCAUCUUCACUUUUGGAAGUAGCAGCAUUACUUUCCACAAGCCCUUUUUUCGACCAACAAUCUUUUGCCAUGUGACCCUUUUUUCCGCAAUUGUAGCACUUCCCUUCAAAUUUUUUUCCUGGUGCCAGGAUUCUUCGAAUCUCCCUCAACACGAGCACUCCUUUCACCUUGACUACUUUUUGCCUUGUCCUCAUUCUUUUUAGUUCUAUCGACGGUGUGCUGCUUGGAAUUCCACCUGCCUUUGUGGGCAUAAAGCGCUUCCUCUUCACCCUUGAGUGAAACCCCUCCCAUUUGUUUAGCUAAGGCUUCUUGACCAGUAAGCAAAUUCUCAAACUCAACAAGUGAUGGUUGAUUUUGCCAUCCCUGUACAACAGCAACAAAACCUCUGAAUUCUGGUCUCAAACCAUGGAUGAUUAUUCUCUUCAUCCUGGUUUCACCGAUUGGGGCUUCUAGAUCCAACUCGAAAAUUUCCCGGCAUAACGUCUUCACCUUGUGAAAGUACUGAGUGAUCGUCAAGUCACGUUGUGCUACCGACAACAACUCGCUCUCUAGAAGUUGGAGCCUUGUGUCAUUCUUCUUUGAGAACAGCUUGGUGAACGUAUUCCAAGCUUCGUAAGGGGUUUUGGCAUCUCAAAUGUGCUCUAGCACAUCUUCUUCGAUCGUUGUCUUCAAAGCAAACAUCGUUUUGCCUGCUUUUAUCUUCCAUAUCCGCAGUAUACCAUUCACAUCCUCAGCCUCCAAUUGAGUAAUUUCGCUUCUGUUCACAACCUCCCACAAGUCUUGGCCUUGCAUGUACGACAUCAUGCAUGUUAACCAAGUAUUGUAAUUUUGGUUGUUGAGCUUUUUUAUUCCGCCAAUGACUUGAAGAUCACCCAUUUCACUCUCUCUUUUCCUCACGUGUUUGACUCUCAAACACUCUCUAAAAUCCCUCUUCAACCUGACUCUGAUACCAAAUGUUGAAACCACUUUAUAAAAGAGACACAUAGAGGAGGAAAGAAAAUAAUUUUAUUGAUAGGGUGAUAUUUUUAAACUUCACCUGAUACAAGCCUUUUAUAGGCAAAACCAUCAACAGAAAUAGAAAUACUAAAAAAUAGGAAUAGAAAGAUAACCAGUCACUCUAAACGUGCUGCAACGACCUCUCUAAGACUUGGACAAUUCUUAAUUUAUUGAAAAACUACACAGAGGCAUAUUUUUGACACAAAAACAAACUUGACUUGUUCAAUACAUCCUCUCGGUCACAUGCUGAUGUUGAUAACUUAAACAACUUAUUUGUACAAAUUUUUCCCCUAGGAUAUCUGCUAGAAGUUGUUUUUGUAAUUCAAGCAAUGGAUAGUGUUGCCAUGCCUCACGAACAUUUGAAAGAAAGAUAGCAUCUUCAAAUUGAUGAGCAAUUUCGUUGUAUAUUACUUUGGCGAGGAUGGUCUUUCCUAUUCCACCAAGUCCAUAUAUUCCUAUCACGCGAACAUCAUUUGACCAGUGCAUUCAUUUCUUCCAAACGGAAAUCCAUUCCGACGAGGUUCUCAUCAACAUGAAAGCGUUUAGGUUAUGUUUGGUUCCCGAAAAAUAUUAAAGAAAGAAAAAAAAUGCAAAGAAAAAUGAUUUUUUCAUGUUUGGUUGUCCUAUGAAAAAUAUAAAAGAAAAUCAAAUAUAAUUAAAACUAAUUAAAAACUUAUGUAUUUUAAAAUUAUUUAAUCUUUAUAUUAAUGAGUUAAAAUAAAUAAAAUGAGUUUGAAGUAAAAAAUAAAAAUAACUAAUCAACUUUUAAUCCAUUUUUUAUUUUCCUUCACUUUUUCUUUCCUUCUAUUUUUCCUUUGUAUUUUCUUUCUCUUGCAUUUUCCUUCAAAUUUUCUGAGAACCAAACAUAGCCUUAGGCUUCAGCAUAUUGGAAACGUUUUGAGUAAUGCGAUGAAUGAUCUCAGAUUCCCAAAUGGAAAGCACAAUAUAACAACCUCCAAUGAACUACAAAUUAAUUGUAAGAAAAAAAAAAUUGAUGAUGAUUUAGUUUUAGUUUUUUUUGAAGCAGGUGAAACUAUUGGUGGCAGACUGGCAGUUGCCAUUAGAAAAAUGAAAAAUACCAAUCGAGUUUAUUUGUGCCGCAGGUGAAACUACUUAGUUUUUUUAAAAUUACUUUUCUAUUUUUUAAAUAUGAUUUAAAAAUACCUUUCUAUUUUUUAAAUAUGAUUUAAACGUUUUUCUAUUUUUGAAAUUAAAACCCUAUUUUAAAAAAAUUAUGGUCAGUUUGGUGGUCAUUCUCUACAAAUAAUCUUUAAAAAUAAGAUGAAAUAAAAAAGAAUUUUGGAGAACAAGUAAUAUAAGUUAUUUUUACAUAUUUAUAAAAACAAAGAAAAGCAUUGGGAAGUAAUUUAAAAAAGAAAAUAAUAAAAAAAUAAACAAAGUCUGAUAGAUCUCUUUCUUCUUUUAUUCUCUCUCCACCAAUCAAUAUCAAAAUUUUUAAAUAUGAUUCCUUUUUAAUUACACUUUAUUUAUUUAUUUAUUUGAAUUUACUUUAACUUUUAAAAUUCUUUAGGUAAAUAAAUUCCAAAUCAAAUGGUACAUGAUAUAUAUGAUUUAUUAAUUUAAAAAAAAAAAUUAAAACUCAAAAACCAAUCCAAUUAGUGUUGGAAAGUUACAAAACUCAAAACCAAUAUAGAAAACAAAUUUUGUUAAUUUUUUUACCAUGAACUUCAAAUCAAGUAAAAUUUAAUAUUUUUUUAUUCAUAAAUAAGUUUAGUAAUUUUUAAAAAUAAUUUCAAACUCAAAUAAUAACUCAAUUAAUAUAAAAAAUUUAUAAACAAAAAUUAGUUUAAAAUUACUUUAUUGUUUGACUAAUCUAUAGAAUCAUUUUUUUCUUUAAUUUGUUAGCAAGUUUAUUAAUUAAAAAAAAUAUAGAAUUCAAAACAUAACACAAUUAGUAGUGGAAAUUCACAAUCUAAAAUCUAUCCAAAAUGACUCUUAUAUUUCUCAUACAAAACUUUAUUUUUAUGAGUUUUGUCGCUGAAAAAAUGGAUUUUUAAUAGAAUUCAAAAAUAGACCAAAGUACUAUAAAAAAUAAUAAACCAAAAUUAAUACAUAAUAAGUUAUAACUUACUGUUUCUCCUAAGCGCAUAACCAUAUUUUCCAAAUUUUCUUGCUAGGUAAAUAGAAUCUAAAUCGGGACUUAAUAUCUUAAAUUCUUUAAUGAAUCUUCUCAUUUUUAAGAUAAUUUGAAAUUAAAAAAAAAAAACUAAAGAUAAAAACUAAUCCAAAAUACUAUGCCCUUAAUUGAAUGGUAAAUGUAUAGAUGUACUAAAAAUUUUACAUAUUUAAAUAUUAAAAAUAUUAAACUUUAUUUAUUUUUAAUAAAUCGAGACUUAAUAUCUUAAAUUCUUUAAUGAAUCUUCUCAUUUUUAAGAUAAUUUGAAAAAAAAAAACUGAAGAUAAAAACUAAUCCAAAAUACUACGUCCUUAAUUAAAUGGUAAAUGUAUAGAUGUAAUAAAAAUUUUACAUUUUUAAAUAUUAAAAAUAUUAAACUUUAUUUAUUUAAAAUUUUUUUUUUGAAUAAAUCAAGACUUAAUAUCUUAAAUUCUUCAAUGAAUCUUCUCAUUUUUACGAUAAUUUGAAAUUUAAAAAAAAAAUUGAAGAUAAAAACUAAUCCAAAAUAGUAUAUCCUUAUUUGAACGGUAAAUAUAUAGAUGUGAUAAACUUUUUUACAUAUUUAAAUAUUAAAAAUAUUAAACUUUAUUUAUUUUUAAAUUUUAUUGAAUAAAAUAUUAUUAAUUUUAAAUUAUUAUUUAUUUUAAUAAAAAAUCAAUUAAGCUUGAGAAAGAUGAUCACAUUUUUAUAACAUGUACUAAAAUAGUAUCAUUUUUGUAUAUAUAUAUAUAUAUAUAUAUAUAUAUAUAUAUAUAUAUAUAUAUAUAUAUAUAUAUAUAAUUCAUUAUUUUAGUACAUGUAAACAAGCAUAUAGGAAGUGAGCAAUGGAUGCCAAGAACGGACUCUCAGUUAAUUUUGGUCAUGCUUAUCCGAUUUCAUCAAACUCAGUUUCCAACACUUAAAAAUCAAACAUAAUUGUGACUUAAGUUGUCGAUGAAUAAAAAGCAACUCAAAACGGAAGAGAAAGAGUAGUUAUAUAACAUGCCCAUGCUGCACAUGCCAUCCAGACAGACCGCCGGCUUCGGUCAGUGCCGCCCUCCAUCUCAGCACCCUCUCCUCAGUGACGUUUCCGUAUCUUGCAAAUGCUUCUCCAAAACUUCCCGUUUGUUUCCGCACAUCAGAUGGAUCCACAUGGUAGAAAAUUGGUAGAACUUUUUGGCCCUUUUCUCUGCUGCACUGCAUGAUCUUAUCAAGCUCAUCCAAGCACCAUUUUGAAUGAGCAUAGUUUUCUGAAAAAACGACAACAGAAAUCAUUGAAUCUUCAAUAGCUUUCAAGAGUGAAGGUUGAAUCUCUCGUCCUCUUUCAAGUCCUUCAUCAUCUCUAAAGGUGUCGAUGCCCAUCCUCGUCAAAGCCGAAUAAAGAUGAUCCGUAAAAUUUAAGCGGGUAUCUUCCCCUCUAAAGCACAAAAAAACAUCCCAUCUCCAUUGAAAAGAAGAGGUGCCUGAAGAAGCCAUUCUUGGGAGCUAUCUGGUUGUUAGUCUCAAAUUACAAGACAAUCAGAAAAUUAUGGGUUGUUGUGGGAAG
rnacentral:lncRNA from 1 species